rnacentral:rRNA from 1 species
CUACGUAGGGGGCGAGCGUUGUCCGGAAUGACUGGGCGUAAAGGGCGCGUAGGCGGCCCGGUAAGUCUGGAGUGAAAGUCCUGUUUUUAAGAUGGGAAUUGCUUUGGAUACUGUCGGGCUUGAGUGCAGGAGAGGUAAGUGGAAUUCCCAGUGUAGCGGUGAAAUGCGUAGAGAUUGGGAGGAACACCAGUGGCGAAGGCGACUUACUGGACUGUAACUGACGCUGAGGCGCGAAAGUGUGGGGAGCAAACAGGAUUAGAUACCCUGGUAGUCCACACUGUAAACAAUGAAUGCUAGGUGUAGAGGGUAUCGACCCCUUCUGUGCCGCAGUCAACACAAUAAGCAUUCCGCCUGGGGAGUACGGCCGCAAGGUUGAAACUCAAAUGAAUUGGCGGGG